rnacentral:misc_RNA from 1 species
UUGAUUCAUUUGUUUGCUUGUACGCCGAGAUGCCGCUGACAGCAGGAGUUUUCGGGGUCCUCCGGCGGGCGCCUGGGUCCGGGCCGCUGGGGCGCCGGGGCGGUCCCGCCGAGGCAACGUGUGUGGUACGGUUCGCAGGGGGUUUGGGAGUUGUAAACUCGGUAAUGAUCCCUCCGCUGGUUCACCAACGGAGA